UCUGCUUGAAGGCCAACUGAUGAAGAUCAAUGAUGUCAAUGUGUCUCGAUUCACAAGCAUCGGUGUGACUGCAUUGCUUGAUGUGCUGUGGAGAAGAGUUGCUGUAAUGUUAUUAGAACAGGAAAGUGUGUCCUCGGGACCCGGGUUCGAUCUGUGUCACAGUCGCCUACAUUUCAGCCAGAGUUUUCAGGCGGCGCUGGGGCGAUGGUGACCGACCACAAUGAAGUGGCUCCUGGUUUCAUCAGCAUUUAUACUCGUGUUCACUGUCCGAUCUUACAGACCAAUUAAUCGUAUUCUGUUUCAGGAAGAUCUAAAUGUGACGGCUGUGUUUAUAUUGAGGAGCUGGACUCACCUGAGAUCAUGAGCAGAACUAUCAGAGAGGCAGACCGGAGCAUUCUGAGGAACAUCAUCAUCACUGCAUCCUGCAGGAUUCCACAAUGUUGCAUGACGGGAUCAGAAAGACGUGUUUAAAUGUGUAUUCUGUAUCCAGAAUCCUCUCAGGGACUCGACAGUGCAGCUUCACUGUUCUUACUGCGGAGCUGAGGAGAAUGAUUGACAAGCGGUUUGACCAAUCAUCGAUGUCAAUUUAGCCGCGCUCGACCAAUCAUGCGUGAGAGAAGGCGGGACCUACAGAGUGAACGCUGACUGGAGAAAUAAAACGUCAACAUGAAACAAAACCGAACAACUAGCAAACAAACUUAUUACAAUUAAAAUUUAACAGAAUAUUGA